UACGUAGGGGGCGAGCGUUGUCCGGAAUUAUUGGGCGUAAAGAGCGUGUAGGCGGUUCGGUAAGUCUGCCGUGAAAACCUGGGGCUCAACCCCAGGCGUGCGGUGGAUACUGCCGGGCUAGAGGGUGGUAGAGGCGAGUGGAAUUCCCGGUGUAGCGGUGAAAUGCGCAGAUAUCGGGAGGAACACCGGUGGCGAAGGCGGGUCUCUGAGCCGAUACUGACGCUGAGGAGCGAAAGCGUGGGGAGCGAACAGG
rnacentral:rRNA from 1 species